rnacentral:rRNA from 1 species
UUAAGCGACUAAGCGUACACGGUGGAUGCCCUGGCAGUCAGAGGCGAUGAAGGACGUGCUAAUCUGCGAUAAGCGUCGGUAAGGUGAUAUGAACCGUUAUAACCGGCGAUUUCCGAAUGGGGAAACCCAGUGUGAUUCGUCACACUAUCAUUAACUGAAUCCAUAGGUUAAUGAGGCGAACCGGGGGAACUGAAACAUCUAAGUACCCCGAGGAAAAGAAAUCAACCGAGAUUACCCCAGUAGCGGCGAGCGAACGGGGAGCAGCCCAGAGCCUGAAUCAGUGUGUGUGUUAGUGGAAGCGUCUGGAAAGGCGUGCGAUACAGGGUGACAGCCCCGUACACAAAAAUGCACAUACUGUGAGCUCGAUGAGUAGGGCGGGACACGUGGUAUCCUGUCUGAAUAUGGGGGACCAUCCUCCAAGGCUAAAUACUCCUGACUGACCGAUAGUGAACCAGUACCGUGAGGGAAAGGCGAAAAGAACCCCGGCGAGGGGAGUGAAAAAGAACCUGAAAACCGUGUACGUACAAGCAGUGGGAGCACGCUUAGGCGUGUGACUGCGUACCUUUUGUAUAAUGGGUCAGCGACUUAUAUUCUGUAGCAAGGUUAACCGAAUAGGGGAGCCGAAGGGAAACCGAGUCUUAACUGGGCGUUAAGUUGCAGGGUAUAGACCCGAAACCCGGUGAUCUAGCCAUGGGCAGGUUGAAGGUUGGGUAACACUAACUGGAGGACCGAACCGACUAAUGUUGAAAAAUUAGCGGAUGACUUGUGGCUGGGGGUGAAAGGCCAAUCAAACCGGGAGAUAGCUGGUUCUCCCCGAAAGCUAUUUAGGUAGCGCCUCGUGAAUUCAUCUCCGGGGGUAGAGCACUGUUUCGGCAAGGAGGUCAUCCCGACUUACCAACCCGAUGCAAACUGCGAAUACCGGAGAAUGUUAUCACGGGAGACACACGGCGGGUGCUAACGUCCGUCGUGAAGAGGGAAACAACCCAGACCGCCAGCUAAGGUCCCAAAGUCAUGGUUAAGUGGGAAACGAUGUGGGAAGGCCCAGACAGCCAGGAUGUUGGCUUAGAAGCAGCCAUCAUUUAAAGAAAGCGUAAUAGCUCACUGGUCGAGUCGGCCUGCGCGGAAGAUGUAACGGGGCUAAACCAUGCACCGAAGCUGCGGCAGCGACGCUUAUGCGUUGUUGGGUAGGGGAGCGUUCUGUAAGCCUGUGAAGGUGUGCUGUGAGGUAUGCUGGAGGUAUCAGAAGUGCGAAUGCUGACAUAAGUAACGAUAAAGCGGGUGAAAAGCCCGCUCGCCGGAAGACCAAGGGUUCCUGUCCAACGUUAAUCGGGGCAGGGUGAGUCGACCCCUAAGGCGAGGCCGAAAGGCGUAGUCGAUGGGAAACAGGUUAAUAUUCCUGUACUUGGUGUUACUGCGAAGGGGGGACGGAGAAGGCUAUGUUGGCCGGGCGACGGUUGUCCCGGUUUAAGCGUGUAGGCUGGUUUUCCAGGCAAAUCCGGAAAAUCAAGGCCGAGGCGUGAUGACGAGGCACUACGGUGCUGAAGCAACAAAUGCCCUGCUUCCAGGAAAAGCCUCUAAGCAUCAGGUAACAUCAAAUCGUACCCCAAACCGACACAGGUGGUCAGGUAGAGAAUACCAAGGCGCUUGAGAGAACUCGGGUGAAGGAACUAGGCAAAAUGGUGCCGUAACUUCGGGAGAAGGCACGCUGAUACGUAGGUGAAGCGACUUGCUCGUGGAGCUGAAAUCAGUCGAAGAUACCAGCUGGCUGCAACUGUUUAUUAAAAACACAGCACUGUGCAAACACGAAAGUGGACGUAUACGGUGUGACGCCUGCCCGGUGCCGGAAGGUUAAUUGAUGGGGUUAGCGCAAGCGAAGCUCUUGAUCGAAGCCCCGGUAAACGGCGGCCGUAACUAUAACGGUCCUAAGGUAGCGAAAUUCCUUGUCGGGUAAGUUCCGACCUGCACGAAUGGCGUAAUGAUGGCCAGGCUGUCUCCACCCGAGACUCAGUGAAAUUGAACUCGCUGUGAAGAUGCAGUGUACCCGCGGCAAGACGGAAAGACCCCGUGAACCUUUACUAUAGCUUGACACUGAACAUUGAGCCUUGAUGUGUAGGAUAGGUGGGAGGCUUUGAAGUGUGGACGCCAGUCUGCAUGGAGCCGACCUUGAAAUACCACCCUUUAAUGUUUGAUGUUCUAACGUGGACCCGUGAUCCGGGUUGCGGACAGUGUCUGGUGGGUAGUUUGACUGGGGCGGUCUCCUCCUAAAGAGUAACGGAGGAGCACGAAGGUUGGCUAAUCCUGGUCGGACAUCAGGAGGUUAGUGCAAUGGCAUAAGCCAGCUUGACUGCGAGCGUGACGGCGCGAGCAGGUGCGAAAGCAGGUCAUAGUGAUCCGGUGGUUCUGAAUGGAGGGGCCAUCGCUCAACGGAUAAAAGGUACUCCGGGGAUAACAGGCUGAUACCGCCCAAGAGUUCAUAUCGACGGCGGUGUUUGGCACCUCGAUGUCGGCUCAUCACAUCCUGGGGCUGAAGUAGGUCCCAAGGGUAUGGCUGUUCGCCAUUUAAAGUGGUACGCGAGCUGGGUUUAGAACGUCGUGAGACAGUUCGGUCCCUAUCUGCCGUGGGCGCUGGAGAACUGAGGGGGGCUGCUCCUAGUACGAGAGGACCGGAGUGGACGCAUCACUGGUGUUCGGGUUGUCAUGCCAAUGGCACUGCCCGGUAGCUAAAUGCGGAAGAGAUAAGUGCUGAAAGCAUCUAAGCACGAAACUUGCCCCGAGAUGAGUUCUCCCUGACCCUUUAAGGGUCCUGAAGGAACGUUGAAGACGACGACGUUGAUAGGCCGGGUGUGUAAGCGCAGCGAUGCGUUGAGCUAACCGGUACUAAUGAACCGUGAGGCUUAACCUU